rnacentral:rRNA from 1 species
UACGUAGGUGGCAAGCGUUGUCCGGAAUCACUGGGCGUAAAGCGCGCGCAGGCGGCGAUCUACGUCUGGGGUGAAAGCCCGGAGCUCAACUCCGGGACUGCCUUGGAUACGGGAUCGCUUGAGGAUUGGAGAGGCAAGGGGAAUUCCACGUGUAGCGGUGAAAUGCGUAGAUAUGUGGAGGAACACCUGUGGCGAAGGCGCCUUGCUGGCCAAUUACUGACGCUGAGGCGCGAAAGCGUGGGGAGCAAACAGG